GCUAAUACCGCAUAUUCUGUGAGCAGGAAAGCAGGGGAUCGCAAGACCUUGCGCUGAUUGAGCGGCCGAUAUCAGAUUAGCUUGUUGGUGAGGUAAAAGCUCACCAAGGCGACGAUCUGUAGCGGGUCUGAGAGGAUGAUCCGCCACACUGGAACUGAGACACGGUCCAGACUCCUACGGGAGGCAGCAGUGGGGAAUUUUGGACAAUGGGGGCAACCCUGAUCCAGCCAUGCCGCGUGAGUGAAGAAGGCCUUCGGGUUGUAAAGCUCUUUCAGCCGGGAAGAAAACGCAUGGGUUAAUACCCUGUGUGGAUGACGGUACCGGAAUAAGAAGCACCGGCUAACUACGUGCCAGCAGCCGCGGUAAUACGUAGGGUGCGAGCGUUAAUCGGAAUUACUGGGCGUAAAGCGUGCGCAGGCGGUUUUGUAAGACAGGCGUGAAAUCCCCGGGCUUAACCUGGGAACUGCGUUUGUGACUGCAAGGCUAGAGUACGGCAGAGGGGGGUGGAAUUCCACGUGUAGCAGUGAAAUGCGUAGAGAUGUGGAGGAACACCAAUGGCGAAGGCAGCCCCCCGGGUCGAUACUGACGCUCAUGCACGAAAGCGUGGGUAGCAAACAGGAUUAGAUACCCUGGUAGUCCACGCCCUAAACGAUGUCAACUAGGUGUUGGGAGGGUAAAACCUUUUAGUACCGGAGCUAACGCGUGAAGUUGACCGCCUGGGGAGUACGGCCGCAAGGUUAAAACUCAAAGGAAUUGACGGGGACCCGCACAAGCGGUGGAUGAUGUGGAUUAAUUCGAUGCAACGCGAAAAACCUUACCUACCCUUGACAUGCCAAGAACUUUCCAGAGAUGGAUUGGUGCCCGAAAGGGAACUUGGACACAGGUGCUGCAUGGCUGUCGUCAGCUCGUGUCGUGAGAUGUUGGGUUAAGUCCCGCAACGAGCGCAACCCUUGUCGUUAAUUGCCAUCAUUUAGUUGGGCACUUUAACGAGACUGCCGGUGACAAACCGGAGGAAGGUGGGGAUGACGUCAAGUCCUCAUGGCCCUUAUGGGUAGGGCUUCACACGUCAUACAAUGGUCGGUACAAAGGGUCGCCAAGCCGCGAGGUGGAGCCAAUCCCAGAAAGCCGAUCGUAGUCCGGAUCGCAGUCUGCAACUCGACUGCGUGAAGUCGGAAUCGCUAGUAAUCGUGGAUCAGAAUGUCACGGUGAAUACGUUCCCGGGUCUUGUACACACCGCCCGUCACACCAUGGGAGCGGGUUCCGCCAGAAGUAGGUAGCCUAACCGCAAGGAGGGCGCUUACCACGGCGGGGUUCGUGACUGGGGUGAAGUCGUAACAAGGUA
rnacentral:rRNA from 1 species